rnacentral:rRNA from 1 species
UAUCAGGCACGCCCAAAACAUCUAGCCACGCCACACCCAGGGCCCUCAGCAGUGAUUAACCUUAAAAUAAACGUCAGUUUGAUUUAGCCAAUGAAGACAGAGCCGGCCAAUCUGGUGCCAGCCGCCGCGGUUACACCUAUGGCUCAAGUUGACCCGGCGUAAAGCGUGAUUAAAGGGUCAAACUUAAAUAAGACUGUGAAAAGUUUAUUUUUAAAAGCCUACCUCGAAAGAUACCCCAAUCAACCAACUUGAACUCACCACAACUAAGACACAAACUGGGAUUAGAUACCCCACUAUGCCUAGUCGUAAACUCUAACUUACCGCCAGGGAACUACGAGCAAAGCUUAAAACCCAAAAGACUUGACGGUGCCCCACAUCCUUCUAGAGGAGCCUGUCCUGUAAUCGAUACCCCCCGUUCAACCUCACCAUUUUUAGUUCAGCCUGUAUACUUCCGUCGUCAGCUUACCGCGUGAGCGAUAGUAAGCUUAAUGGAACCCCUCACGUCAGGUCAAAGUGCAGCACAUAAAAUGGAUAGAGAUGGGCUACACUUUCUAUAGAAGAAACGAAAAAGUUAUGUGAAACACUUAGAAGGCGGAUUUAGCAGUAAGAGAAUAGAGUACUUUUCUUAACGGCACUGGGGUGUGUACACACCGCCCGUCACCCUCU